ACUGGCAGCAAUCUCAUACCUCGGAUACUCGCCAGUGCUGGAGAGACAGGAGGCCAGUGGCAGGUACAGGAUCCACACACUGGGCGAGUCUGGUCUCGGCGCUUCAACCCUUACAACACAGACUACUU